rnacentral:rRNA from 1 species
CAACAUCUCGAAAGGGAUGCUAAUACCGCAUACGUCCUACGGGAGAAAGCAGGGGAUCUUCGGACCUUGCGCUAAUAGAUGAGCCUAAGUCGGAUUAGCUAGUUGGUGGGGUAAAGGCCUACCAAGGCGACGAUCUGUAGCGGGUCUGAGAGGAUGAUCCGCCACACUGGGACUGAGACACGGCCCAGACUCCUACGGGAGGCAGCAGUGGGGAAUAUUGGACAAUGGGGGGAACCCUGAUCCAGCCAUGCCGCGUGUGUGAAGAAGGCCUUAUGGUUGUAAAGCACUUUAAGCGAGGAGGAGGCUACUUUAGAUAAUACCUAGAGAUAGUGGACGUUACUCGCAGAAUAAGCACCGGCUAACUCUGUGCCAGCAGCCGCGGUAAUACAGAGGGUGCAAGCGUUAAUCGGAUUUACUGGGCGUAAAGCGCGCGUAGGCGGCUAAUUAAGUCAAAUGUGAAAUCCCCGAGCUUAACUUGGGAAUUGCAUUCGAUACUGGUUAGCUAGAGUGUGGGAGAGGAUGGUAGAAUUCCAGGUGUAGCGGUGAAAUGCGUAGAGAUCUGGAGGAAUACCGAUGGCGAAGGCAGCCAUCUGGCCUAACACUGACGC